rnacentral:rRNA from 1 species
ACGAACGCUGGCGGCGUGCCUAAUACAUGCAAGUCGAACGGUCUUUCUAUGGAAGCUUGCUUCCACUGAGAAGAUAGUGGCGAACGGGUGAGUAACACGUGGGGUAACCUGCCCAUAAGAGGGGGGAUAACAUCCGGAAACGGGUGCUAAUACCGCAUAGUUUCUUGAUCGCAUGAUCGGGAAAGGAAAGACGGCCUUUGUGCUGUCGCUUAUGGAUGGACCCGCGGCGUAUUAGUUAGUUGGUGAGGUAACGGCUCACCAAGACGAUGAUACGUAGCCGACCUGAGAGGGUGAUCGGCCACAUUGGGACUGAGACACGGCCCAAACUCCUACGGGAGGCAGCAGUAGGGAAUCUUCCGCAAUGGACGAAAGUCUGACGGAGCAACGCCGCGUGAGUGAAGAAAAGGUUUUCGGAUCGUAAAACUCUGUUGUCAGAGAAGAACAAGUUGGAGAGUAACUGCUCCAGCCUUGACGGUAUCUGACCAGAAAGCCACGGCUAACUACGUGCCAGCCGCCGC